UAACACCAGCCCCCCGAGUGGUGGGGAUGAUUAUUUGGCCUAAAGCGUCCGUAGCCGGCUUUGUAAAUCUCUCGUUAAAUCCAGCGUCCUAAGCGUUGGGCUGCGAGAGACACUGCAGAGCUAGAGGGUGGGAGAGGUCAGCGGUAUUCCUGGGGUAGGGGCGAAAUCCAUUGAUCCCAGGAGGACCACCAGUGGCGAAGGCUGCUGUCCAGAACACGCCUGACGGUCAGGGACGAAAGCUGGGGUAGCGAAUCGGAUUAGAUACCCGAGUAGUCCCAGCCGUAAACGAUGCAGGCUAGGUGUUGGGUCGGCCACGCGCCUCCUCAGUGCCGCAGCGAAGGCGUUAAGCUCGCCGCCUGGGGAGUACGGCCGCAAGGCUG
rnacentral:rRNA from 1 species